UACAGAGGUCCCAAGCGUUGUUCGGAUUCACUGGGCGUAAAGGGUGCGUAGGUGGUCGGGUCAGUCUGAGGUGAAAUCUCCGAGCUUAACUCGGAAACUGCCUUGGAUACUAUCCGGCUGGAGGGUUGGAGGGGGGACUGGAAUUCUCGGUGUAGCAGUGAAAUGCGUAGAUAUCGAGAGGAACACCAGUGGCGAAGGCGAGUCCCUGGACCAACACUGACACUGAGGAGCGAAAGCCAGGGGAGCAAACGGG
rnacentral:rRNA from 1 species